rnacentral:rRNA from 1 species
AUUGAACGCUGGCGGCAGGCUUAACACAUGCAAGUCGAGCGAGCGGCGGACGGGUGAGUAUUGUAUGGGAAACUGCCUGAUGGUGGGCGAUAACUACCGGAAACGGUAGCUAAUACCGCAUACCAUCAGAUGUGCCCAGAUGGGAUUAGCUAGUAGGUGGGGUAAUGGCUCACCGAGGCGACGAUCCCUAGCUGGUGUGAGAGGAUGACCAGCCACACUGGGCCUGAGACAGGGUCCGGGGGCCUGCGGGAGGCGGCAGUGGGGAAUAGGGCACAAUGGGCGCAAGCCUGAUGCGAGACUGCCGAGUGUAUUAAGGGGGCCUUGGGGUUGGGAGGGACUUGCAGCGAGGGGGCGGUACUCGCAGAAGAAGGACCGGCUAACUCCGUGCCAGCAGCCGCGGUAAUUC